rnacentral:misc_RNA from 1 species
GAUAUGUGGAGGAACCACGCCUAGCUGUGGUGUCAGGCUCAUAUCCUCUGCCUCUUUCUUGAGAAGAAACAAAACUACCUGGUUUCUUAAUAGAAGAAACUUGGCUAUGAUUUCUUUGCACAGACUUAUUCUUCAUAGCAGCUAAAUUCUUUACUUCUCGACUGUUGACAAACUCUAUUUUUGCCUUCUUCAUCAACGGACUCUUUGUGUUCCCAAAAUUGCUACCAAGUCCACUACCAUAAAAGCUUCUUUUAUUGCUAGAAGGGGGAACCUUUGUGCAGACUUGAACUUGUCGGCUUUGCCGUUUGGCAUUUUCGUUUUGGUACAAUUCCUUGAUUCUUUCAAAUGAUCUUUGUUGAGUUUCCUCCAUUUCCUGUGUCUUCGCCUCAUAUAACUGUUUCCAUUUAAAUGUUACUUUCACUUGCUUCAUUCGCUCAACCACCUGAUUGAUGCUCUUGUCACCAAACUCAAUCUGGUAAAACCUCUUCCAAAGUCUAUCAGUCACUUGACUGAGAUCUCUUCCUUCUGUCGAAUUCUCCACAUGUGUCAAUUGUUCAAGAGAACAGUGAGGCAAAAUGCGCUCUAGUAGAUAAGUGUCUGUUUCACCCACAUCCCCAAGGUACCUCAAAUUAUCUACUGCUGUCCGAACACAUAAAUCUACCAGCGAAGGAACCUUACACCUCAUUGUAAAACGCCUUUUAU